CAGAGUCGAAGAGGAGCAGAAGAUGAAGUUGGAGAUAUGGUCCUUCUAUAUGAUACAGCUCCUUAAAGACCUUGACAGCAAGCAAGUCCAGGAAAGAGGACACCCAGGGUGCACCAGGCACCAUGCCAGGCACUGUACGCAGGAGGCCCAAGAACCUCAGGAGACUCUCAUCAGCCUGUCCAUCGCUGCUGUCGGGCCACAGAGGUUU